UGAGGAAUAUUGGACAAUGGGUGAGAGCCUGAUCCAGCCAUCCCGCGUGAAGGAUUAAGGACCUAUGGUUUGUAAACUUCUUUUCUACAGGGAUAAACCUACUUACGUGUAAGUAGCUGAAGGUACUGUAGGAAUAAGCACCGGCUAACUCCGUGCCAGCAGCCGCGGUAAUACGGAGGGUGCAAGCGUUAUCCGGAUUUAUUGGGUUUAAAGGGUCCGUAGGCGGGCCGGUAAGUCAGUGGUGAAAUCUCACAGCUCAACUGUGAAACUGCCGUUGAUACUGCCGGUCUUGAGUAAAUUUGAAGUGGCUGGAAUAAGUAGUGUAGCGGUGAAAUGCAUAGAUAUUACUUAGAACACCAAUUGCGAAGGCAGGUCACUAAGAUUAAACUGACGCUGAUGGACGAAAGCGUGGGGAGCGAACA
rnacentral:rRNA from 1 species